CCUACGGGCGGCAGCAGUGAGGAAUAUUGGUCAAUGGACGAGAGUCUGAACCAGCCAAGUAGCGUGAAGGAUGACUGCCCUCUGGGUUGUAAACUUCUUUUAUAAAGGAAUAAAACGAGGCACGUGUGCCUCUUUUCAUAUACUUUAUGAAUAAGGAUAGGCUAACUUCGUGCCAGCAGCCGCGCUAAUACGGAGGAUCCGAGCGUUAUCCGGAUUUAUUGGGUUUAAAGGGAGCGUAGAUGGGUUGUUAAGUCAGUUGUGAAAGUUCGCGGCUCAACCGUAAAAUUGCAAUUGAUACUGGCAGUCUUGAGUACAGUUGAGGUAGGCGGAAUUCGUGGUGUAGCGGUGAAAUGCUUAGAUAUCACGAAGAACCCCGAUUGCGAAGGCAGCUGACUAACAUGUGACUGACAUUGAUGCUCGAAAGUGUGGGUAUCAAACAGGAUUAGAUACCCCAGUAGUC
rnacentral:rRNA from 1 species